UACGUAGGGUGCAAGCGUUGUCCGGAAUCAUUGGGCGUAAAGAGCGUGUAGGCGGCCUGCUAAGUCGAACGUGAAAUCCCUGGGCUCAACCCAGGAACUGCGUCCGAUACUGGCAGGCUUGAAUCCGGGAGAGGGAUGCGGAAUUCCAGGUGUAGCGGUGAAAUGCGUAGAUAUCUGGAGGAACACCGGUGGCGAAGGCGGCAUCCUGGACCGGCAUUGACGCUGAGGCGCGAAAGCCAGGGGAGCAAACGGG
rnacentral:rRNA from 1 species